rnacentral:rRNA from 1 species
AACGAACGCUGGCGGCAUGCCUAACACAUGCAAGUCGAACGAGACCUUCGGGUCUAGUGGCGCACGGGUGCGUAACGCGUGGGAACCUGCCCUUAGGUUCGGAAUAACUCCCCGAAAGGGGUGCUAAUACCGGAUAAUGUCUUCGGACCAAAGAUUUAUCGCCUUUGGAUGGGCCCGCGUUGGAUUAGCUAGUUGGUAGGGUAAAAGCCUACCAAGGCGACGAUCCAUAGCUGGUCUGAGAGGAUGAUCAGCCACACUGGGACUGAGACACGGCCCAGACUCCUACGGGAGGCAGAAGUGGGGAAUAAUGGACAAUGGGCGAAAGCCUGAUCCAGCAAUGCCGCGUGAGUGAUGAAGGACUUAGGGUUGUAAAGCUCUUUUACCAGGGAUGAUAAUGACAGUACCGGGAGAAUAAGCUCCGGCUAACUCCGU